GACUCAAAUUUAAUAUGGUAAGAUUAUUAAUUUAAUUAGAAAGUUAAAAUAAAAUUGAAUUCAAAUUUUAACAUUAGAAAAAUCAUAUUUAUUACUUAAUUAACUAAUAAGCAAAUCAAAUUAAAUAAAUAAAACUUUAUUAAUAAUUUAAGUAGGAAAUGAAAAAAAAAAGAAGAAAAGAAAAACACGCAAACCCUCUUUCUCUCUCACUCUCAGAUCUAUCUCUUCCCCACCCGACCUCACUUUCCUCUCUCUCGUGUCCGAUCUGCUAGACUCGAACGAUCGCUUUCCAGUUGCCGGAAAGCUACACGUGUCGUACAGGCGUGUUCCCCGGCCUCCGAAAUUUCGACCCCCACGAACCCACCGCCGUACACGCCCCUUAAGGUCCCCCAUUGGGCCUUCAAAGUUCGAACGAUUGGGAGUGCUACGAAGCUUUCCGAGUACUUUUUGGCCACUCUAAGCUACCACUAGACGAGCCACCACCACCAUACUCAUGUUUUGGGCUUCAAAACCCACUGAAGGAUCGGACUCAACUGAGGUCGGAAUUGGAAUCAACGUUUUGGCUGGCUUAAAUCUGAAAUGGAUAUGAGAUUAUCAACUUAUUUGGUUCAUGUAUUUUUGCAUUUUUCUUUAGUUGAAGAGUGAAUGAUUGCUUUUGUGAAUCUUUUAGGUCUGUUAUUAUUAGAUCAUAUAUAUAUAAAUAUAUGUUUGAGAUAUUAGUUGUAAUGUUCUUUUCCCACUAAUACACACUAUCUGUUUGUAUAUUUGCGAAAAGGAUUUUUUUUUCUUUCAAAAUUCUUACGUAUUUUUUUUAUAGUAUUGGAUUUUGGGAUAGAUCUUUUGGCUGCCAAUGUCUUUGUGUGAUAUAGUGUGUCUUAGGCUUAGCUUUUCAUGAUAGGAUUAAUGCGUGUCUUCAUAUGUUAAUGUACUCAUAUGAAUAUAUAUAUGUAUGUAUAUUUAUAAUUAAUAUGUUGUCUAGUUUAGCUUUUUCUCGUAUUAUUCAUAUAUCAUAUUACUAUGCUCAUGAAACUUGACAACUCAUUUAGGUAGACGACUUUUCUUUCUUGGAUAAUAGUUUUCAACAUGACAAUCAACUUUGUUUAAAAUUGUACUGCUACAUGGCAAUAAAAAUCUCAAAUGAAAAGAUUUAAAUCAUGUUACCAUUAUUUCAAGAGAAUAAUUCUCUAAUAUGCAUGGCAUAUUAUUCAACUACUAAAAAUUUGUUUAAAUGUAAUGACAGUCAUGUACCCCUGGAUGAUAUUGCUGCACUUGAUCUCUCCUUUUGUUUUCCUUCUUGUUCACCGUCUAUUUGUAGCUGUGGUGGUUUUUUUGGUUUUGGAGUCUCUAAAUUUCUCAGUAAAAAAUGGUACUUGUAUUUUUUUUUGUUGAAUCCCUGAAAUGGUGUUUUCGAAAAUGUCUACUGAUCAAUCAUGAUUGAUUUAGUUUCCCUUUGUUUGGUAAUAUUACAGUUGUCUUUGGGUUUUAAGAAAUCAAUAGUACAGAAGAAAAUGGUGUUGGUUUAUGUGGUUGUGAAAUAUUAUGUCUUUUUUCAUUGUCUUAACAUACCUACUCUUUUGUUAAUCUUGGUGUAUCUUCAUUACUAGCAAAAUAGAUGCCAUCUUAAUGGACUCAUCAUUCAAUUGCUCUUAAUAUUUCUCAGGCUGACCUUAUCAUCAACAAGGUGCCAAGUCUAUAAAGGGUACUCUAUAUUGGAUGGCUCCUGAAGUCAUUAUCCAUAGUGCUCAUCCCGAGUCAUUGCUUUGACCAAGGGCUUCUAAAUUUCCCAAAGGAUUGUGCAACUAAGAAGGUACUUUUAAAAGCUUUGUUUUUAGUAUAUACAUUGUUGCUUUGUAACUUACAAAUGAUUUUUGUCUCUUCUUUUGCUAAGUUAUUAAUUAAACCUCUGCCACAAUACUCUCUUAGAUCAUGCAUAAGGCAUAUGAUAUGAAUAUAUAUAAUUUUUUUUCAUUUUGUGAUUUUUUUUGCAUGUACUGGAAGUAUAAAAGUUUCUAGGAGCACUCUCUGUCCUGCUUUGCUCUAUGUAAUAAUUACAAAAAAAUGAAUAUUUCUAUAGUGUAUUCUCUCCUUAGUUCUGAUUUCUGGGAUCUUGAGUGUAUACUGUAAAUAUGAAUGUUAUAUUGGCAGAUUUUUUAUUUUUUUAUUUAUGGUUUCCUUUUUCUACAUUGAUUAGGCUUUGAAUGUGUGUAUUUUAACUCUGUACUGGGUUUGGUUGUCCUAAUUAAUAUUUUAAGAAGUCUUUGACCUUACUGUUCUUAAGCUUGCUUAGUAGAUUUAAUUGUUUUUCAUGUAUUUAUUGGGUUUUUUUCUUGUAAUGCAAAUCAAGUGUCAGUGAAAAUGCCUCAAUGGACUAAUAUUGUUAUGGUGUCCACGCCACGCCUCAAUGUAUUCAUCUUUUUUAUUUGCAAGGAAGCUAAGGAUACAUUUGUUCGGAUUGAUCAUACUUUGGGCUAUAUUGUUAAUUAAUUUAGGAAUAUUUGUUUCUUUCUUGGUAUUGAUUAAAUGUAUAAUAAAUCUUGGAUACUAUAUGACAUCUCAUUGAGUAUAAAUUUUGUAACUAUCUCAUUGAAUUUAUAAGUUUUGUUAUUUUAA